rnacentral:lncRNA from 1 species
AGGAGCUGGGUUCCUGCAAUCACUGAGCUACCUUAUCUGCCCCGAGCUACUCUACAUAUUUUAUUAGGGGAAUUGAUGCCAUCUUAUUAAGUUUCUUUACCUCUGGGCCUCUGAUAUAAGAAACCAAUCGGAACACUAACACAUAUGCUGCAUCUUUAAAAAUUAAUUUGCAAUCAUACAAUUUGAAAGCAAAAAUAAAAGCUUGAGAAUCCAGCAUGAAGUAAGAGAAUGAUGAGCAAGCCCCAAGUUCCGGACAGAACUCCAGGCCUCUUUGGGUUCCCACUCGCACAGCCCCCAGGCUCANNAGGAAGACAUGCUUGUCUAUUCCUGACAAUGUCUUGGCAGCCUUCAAGCUUCAAGUGCAGAGUUUCAAGCUCAG